rnacentral:pre_miRNA from 1 species
UCAACAUUCGGACCGUCGGUCUACCGAGCAAUAUUACCCGCUCGGUGGAAGAUCUUUCCUUUCAUCGU